GACGAACGCUGGCGGCGUGCUUAACACAUGCAAGUCGAACGGAAAGGCCCUGCUUUUGUGGGGUGCUCGAGUGGCGAACGGGUGAGUAACACGUGAGUAACCUGCCCUUGACUUUGGGAUAACUUCAGGAAACUGGGGCUAAUACCGGAUAGGAGCUCCUGCUGCAUGGUGGGGGUUGGAAAGUUUCGGCGGUUGGGGAUGGACUCGCGGCUUAUCAGCUUGUUGGGGGGGUAGUGGCUUACCAAGGCUUUGACGGGUAGCCGGCAUGAGAGGGUGACCGGCCACAUUGGGACUGAGGUAUGGCCCAGACUCCUACGGGGGGCAGCAGUGGGGAAUAUUGCACAAUGGGCGGAAGCCUGAUGCAGCAACGCCGCGGGCGGGAUGACGGCUUUCGGGUUGUAAACCGCUUUCGCCUGUGACGAAGCGUGAGUGACGGUAAUGGGUAAAGAAGCACCGGCUAACUACGUG
rnacentral:rRNA from 1 species